UACAGAGGGGGCAAGCGUUGUUCGGAUUUACUGGGCGUAAAGCGCGUGUAGGCGGCUUUGCAAGUCGGAUGUGAAAGCCCACGGCUCAACCGUGGAAGUGCAUCCGAAACUGCAUGGCUUGAGUCUCGGAGAGGAAGGUGGAAUGCUUGGUGUAGAGGUGAAAUUCGUAGAUAUCAAGCAGAACACCUGCGGCGAAGGCGGCCUUCUGGACGAUGACUGACGCUGAGACGCGAAAGCGUGGGGAGCAAACAGG
rnacentral:rRNA from 1 species